rnacentral:rRNA from 1 species
AACGAACGCUGGCGGCAUGCCUAACACAUGCAAGUCGAACGAAGUCUUCGGACUUAGUGGCGCACGGGUGCGUAACGCGUGGGAAUCUGCCCUUGGGUACGGAAUAACUCAGAGAAAUUUGUGCUAAUACCGUAUAAUGUCUUCGGACCAAAGAUUUAUCGCCCAAGGAUGAGCCCGCGUAAGAUUAGCUAGUUGGUGGGGUAAAAGCCUACCAAGGCGACGAUCUUUAGCUGGUCUGAGAGGAUGAUCAGCCACACUGGGACUGAGACACGGCCCAGACUCCUACGGGAGGCAGCAGUAGGGAAUAUUGGACAAUGGGCGAAAGCCUGAUCCAGCAAUGCCGCGUGAGUGAUGAAGGCCCUAGGGUUGUAAAGCUCUUUUACCAGGGAUGAUAAUGACAGUACCUGGAGAAUAAGCUCCGGCUAACUCCGUG